CAAAAUUUAUCCAAGCUCUCAAUCAAGUAUUAUUCAAGUUUUCGCACAAGUACGAAGGAAAAAGGAGAUUUGCAGUCCAACCAAAUUUCCUUCCUUUUCUUUUCACAAGGGGAGAGUCCCUACUUGGACUAGUGUACACGUGGACUGUGUGUCAUCGAAAGGGUAGGCUGGUCCGGUGACCGUGGAAAGUGACCACUUUCCCAUCACAAGAUGUUUCAGAUACGGCGAAUUACCGAAAGAACUUAGAUUGCGCAAUCGAACAUUUAAGUAUGAGAAUUUGGUUGAACUGUGAUGGAGUGGAGGAUGUUGAUCCAAGUGGGGCUUACUCUUGUGUCUAUACAGUACUCUCGGAGAUUCAUGUCUUCAUACAUGGAACCACGUUCAAUUGUUUCCGUUGUACUAUUUAAACAAGUUAAAUAUUG